rnacentral:rRNA from 2 species
GGGAGGAAAAGAAACUAACAAGGAUUUUCUUAGUAGCGGCGAGCGAAAAGAAAAUAGUUCAGCACUAAGUCACUUUGUCUUUAUGGCAAAUGUGAGAUGCAGUGUAUGGAAUGUCAAAUUUCUAGUAUGAGAAAUUAACGAUUUAAGUCCUUCUUAAAUGAGGCCAUUUACCCAAAGAGGGUGCCAGGCCCGUAUAACGUUAAUGAUUACUAGAUGGCAUUUCCAAAGAGUCGUGUUGCUUGAUAGUGCAGCACUAAGUGGGUGGUAAACUCCAUCUAAAACUAAAUAUAACCAUGAGACCGAUAGUAAACAAGUACCGUGAGGGAAAGUUGAAAAGAACUCUGAAUAGAGAGUUAAAUAGUACGUGAAACUGCUUAGAGGUUAAGCCCGAUGAACCUGAAUAUCCAUUAUGGAAAAUUCAUCAUUAUGAUUUUAAUAUUUGUAAUAUUAUAAUAAUGGUGUGCAUUUUUUCUAUAAAGGACAUUGUAAUCUAUUAACUUUAAUAUAUUUAUCAUAAGAUCAUUAGAUUAUGUUUAUUCAAAUUAUUUUGCUUGCAAUUUAAUAUCGAAUAAAUUCUUUUGAUUUGAUAAAGUGUUGAUAGAUUUAUUAUAUACAGUGCUUAAAUAUUUAUAUUUUAUAAUAUCAUAUUAAUCAAUGAUUUUUAUGUUCAUUAUAUGCACUUGUAUGAUUAACAAUGCGAAAGAUUCAGGAUACCUUCGGGACCCGUCUUGAAACACGGACCAAGGAGUCUAACAUAUUUGCAAGUUAUUGGGAAUAAAAACCUAAUAGCGAAAUUAACAUAACUUUAAUGGGAUUAGUUUUUAGCCUAUUUAUAGUCUAUUAAUUCAAUCCCGGGGCGUUCUAUACAGUUAUGUAUAAUAAUAUUUAUAUUAUUUAUACCUCUAACUAGAGCGUACCUUGAGCAUAUAUGCUGUGACCCGAAAGAUGGUGAACUAUACUUGAUCAGGUUGAAGUCAGGGGAAACCCUGAUGGAAGACCGAAACAG